AGAGUUUGAUCAUGGCUCAGAUUGAACGCUGGCGGCAGGCCUAACACAUGCAAGUCGAGCGGUAGCACAAGAGAGCUUGCUCUCUGGGUGACGAGCGGCGGACGGGUGAGUAAUGUCUAGGAAACUGCCUGAUGGAGGGGGAUAACUACUGGAAACGGUAGCUAAUACCGCAUAACGUCUUCGGACCAAAGUGGGGGACCUUCGGGCCUCACGCCAUCAGAUGUGCCCAGAUGGGAUUAGCUAGUAGGUGGGGUAAUGGCUCACCUAGGCGACGAUCCCUAGCUGGUCUGAGAGGAUGACCAGCCACACUGGAACUGAGACACGGUCCAGACUCCUACGGGAGGCAGCAGUGGGGAAUAUUGCACAAUGGGCGCAAGCCUGAUGCAGCCAUGCCGCGUGUGUGAAGAAGGCCUUCGGGUUGUAAAGCACUUUCAGCGAGGAGGAAGGGUAGUGUGUUAAUAGCACAUUGCAUUGACGUUACUCGCAGAAGAAGCACCGGCUAACUCCGUGCCAGCAGCCGCGGUAAUACGGAGGGUGCAAGCGUUAAUCGGAAUUACUGGGCGUAAAGCGCACGCAGGCGGUUUGUUAAGUCAGAUGUGAAAUCCCCGCGCUUAACGUGGGAACUGCAUUUGAAACUGGCAAGCUAGAGUCUUGUAGAGGGGGGUAGAAUUCCAGGUGUAGCGGUGAAAUGCGUAGAGAUCUGGAGGAAUACCGGUGGCGAAGGCGGCCCCCUGGACAAAGACUGACGCUCAGGUGCGAAAGCGUGGGGAGCAAACAGGAUUAGAUACCCCGGUAGU
rnacentral:rRNA from 1 species